rnacentral:rRNA from 1 species
GACGUAGGGCGCGAGCGUUGUCCGGAUUUAUUGGGCGUAAAGAGCUCGUAGGCGGCUUGUUACGUCGGCUGUGAAAUCCCGCGGCUCAACUGCGGGGCUGCCGGUCAUACUGGCGAGCUAGAGCACGGUAGGGGCAGAUGGAAUUCCCGGUGUAGCGGUGGAAUGCGUAGAGAUCGGGAAGAAUACCAGUGGCGAAGGCGUUCUGCUGGGCCGUUGCUGACACUGAGGCGCGACAGCGUGGGGAGCAAACAGG